rnacentral:tRNA from 1 species
GGAAGGGUUGCAGAGUGGUCAAAUGCUGCGGACUGUAAAUCCGCCCUCUAACGAGUUCGUUGGUUCAAAUCCAGCCCCUUCCACCA